rnacentral:rRNA from 1 species
CCCGAUGGCGAAGGACUUCCGACGGUUGCCAUGAGACGACCUGGGACGACGGAUGAUCCCGUAGUCUAGCGUAACUAGCGCGUUAGGAUGCCUGUACUACGAGUAACCGAGUGCGAGUGAAACGUGAACGUGCCGCCUGGGAGUACGUCGCAAGCUGAACUAAAAGAAUGCGGGGGAGCACACAACGGGUGGAGCCUGCGGUUUAAUUGGACUCAACGCCCGAGCAGCUCACCGGAUAGGACAGCGGAAUGAUAGCCGGGCUGAAGACCUUGCUUGACCAGCUGAGAGGAGGUGCAUGGCCGUCGUCAGUUCGUACUGUGAAGCAUCCCUGUUUAGUCAGGCAACGAGCGAGACCCACGCCAACAGUGAGAGAGGGGUCUUCCUCCCGCAAUGAUGAGGAAAACAGAUUGGGACCGCCCCUGCUAAAGAGGAGGAAGGAAUGAGAGAGAUGGGAGGAAAGCAUGCCCCGAAUUAUCCGGGCUACACGCGGGCUACAAUGGUCAGGACAAUGGGAAACGGCACUAAAAAAGUGUAGUCAAUCUCCUAAACCUGUCCCAAGUUCGGAUUGUGGGCUGCAACUCGCCCACAUGAAGCUGGAAUCCGUAGUAAUCGCGUUCAAAAUAGCGCGGAAAAUGGGACCCUGCUCCUGCACACACCGUAA